ACUCCCAGCGCAGGACCGGGGCCCACCACCCCUACCCAUUUACCUAGAUCCAAACUGCAGUCCAGCUGGAGACUAAGGCCUGCCCCCAAGAAUCAAUUCUCUGUCCACUUCAUUGGCGAGUGAAAACUCCCCUCUUCCUCUCCAAUAACGACCACACAGAACGCCGAAUGGCCCCACAGAGUGUGGAAACAAGUACAGGACCAUGGCCUAAAUUCAUGAAGAUUUAUUUUUGGAAGCACAAUGAAUCCCAUGGAGAGUAAAUGAAAGAAGAGACAUGCAUUGUUAAACAAUAAAACGAAAAAAUAUCCCAAGGAGAAGGAAAGACUUAACAAGCUGUCAUAAAAAAGUUAGGUUAUCUACCAAAGAGAAAUGAAACCAACAGCCUAGUUGUUAGCAAUGGAAGCCAGAAGACAGUGGUAUGUCUUCAAAGUGCUGAGAGAAAACUAUCAUUCUUGAAUUGUAUGCAUUUAAAAAACUAUCAUAUAUUAAAAACUAAAAUUCUACCACAACUGAAGGAACUUCAAUUCAGGAAAAUGCAAAGUGAUUCCAGAAAAAUACCCCCACCCCCACCCCCAAAAAAAGUCAAGAAAAAAAAGAUUAAGAUUUUCAUUUAAUUAGUAAAAUUCUCACCUAUCCCUAAGGAGUCUGGAAUAGUUUUGUGUGAGCAUCUGGCUAGGAUUCUGACCAGCUCUGUAUGAACAUAUACUUUCGUUUCUCUUAAGUAAAGAUGUAGGAGUCUAAUGGCUGAUCAUGUAAGACAUAGAGGUUCAAGUCACUGCAGACUUGUUUUCCCCAAGCGGCUUUACCAUUCUACACCCUCAGCAGCAUUGUAAGAGAGUUCUGAGUGGCUCACACCCUCAUCAACAUUUGGCACAGUCAGUCUUUUUUCUAAGAGGUGCAGUGAAGUGCAUCCACUGGAUGCAACUCUCCCUACACCAUCCCCAGAGGUUAUCUGGCACAGUCUGGAUACAUUUUUGGGGUUGACACAAUUGUUGGUGGCGGCGGGGAUGCUGCUAAGCAUACCACAAAGCAUGGGACAGUCCUCCACAACAAAACACUAAAAAACCAAACUCACUGACAUCAAGGCUAUUCCAACUCGUAGUGACCUGUAGAGCAGGGAGAACUUCCCCAUUUGGGUUUCCAAAAUUAUAAACCAUUACAAGAGUAGAAAGCCUCAUCUUUCUCCUGCAGAGUUGCUGGUGGUUUUGAACUGCUAACCUUAUGGUUAGUAGUCCAACCUAUACCCCACUAUGCUAACACACUCCCUCAACAAAGAAUGAGUUUGGGUCAAAAAGUCAAGUGGUUAAGAAGCCUGGGAGAAGUUGUGAUUUUAAUUUGCAUUUCCUUUAUGACUAGGAAUAAAUUACUGAAAAUCUUU